UCUGCUGAUGAGUUACAGCUCUGCCCUGCCACAACCAAAGAACCAUCUUCCUAAACAAAGCCACCCACUGCCAUCCCCCCUUGUGCCCAGCGAGUUCACUCCCCCAACCCCAAUAUUCCAGCUCCUUUACACAACCUCUCCUGCACGCAGAGCCCGCUGCCCCACGCUGGGGUACAGUCCCUGCCAGCGAGGGAGCGGAGCUGUGCAAGCUCACCCGGGCAGGUGCCAGCACCAACUCUCCCCUGCAGCCAGAACGUGCAGACAGGUGAUGUCACGGCCAGAGCAGACAGGUGACAUCACAGCCCUGCAGCCCACAGGCACCUUCUCUCCAUGCUGGUUUAUCUUCUCCUGCACCUGGGAGCAGGGGCCUUGGCACAGCCCCUCGCCGGGCCGGGGGCUGGUGCAGACACAGGGUGCUGUGAGGUUUCAACAGGCUGAAUGAAACGGGUGGAUUAAUCCAUCACUGCAAAGGAAUCUCCUGAUCUCAGAGAUAAAGGCAACAAGUCAUGCACUGACUGUCUGUGGAUCCUCCUGGAAAUGGCCAGGCUUUCUCAUGGCCUUAUUUGGGCCGAUCUAUCAGCUCUCAACUAACAACAAGCAAGGAAAAAAAAAAGAAAAAAGAAAUUAAAAACUGAAAACAUACCACCUGUCUACAGUAACUUCAAGUGGAUUGAUCUGGAAGCAAGCAGGGCAUUUCAACUCCAAACAAUCACUGUUUGUCUCAGAAGGGGCCACAUGAACUGUCCCCUUCCCUUGUUUUUGUUCCCCAGGAGAAGAACAGUCACCUGGGUCCUUACCAUCCAAACUAGCAUGGAAAAAACAUAAAUUUCUUGCAAGAUUUUUUUUAAAGUGAA